GCUCAGCGGCGGCGUGGCUGAAGCCGUUACAGUUCUGUCCACCCAGGCAUGAAAUCCCGAAACACGAUGUGAGUCCAAGGUUGAAGUGUGGUGGUUCAGAUUGUGAAUCCACUUCAGGAGAGUCUCUUCUCAGUACAAGUAUAUAUUCUUCAGCGUGUAGGCUGUUCUGACUGUGUGGUUACUAGGCGAAUCUAACUAGGCAAGUGUGAGAAUAUUCAUCUUAACUCUCCUUCACAUCGCACUUGAGUUUCUGCAUCAUGGUGGUGUUACCCUGCCAGUGGUCUCAUGCUUUUGCACAUUGUUUGCAUUGGUUACUACAACUCUGCUGAAGGCGAUCUAUGCUUAGAAUACAUCAACAUUUUCUACUUUGGCCAGCCCUCUGUUCCACACUCCCAAUGGCUAGCUUUUGAGAAUUUCAUAUGCUUCUGGGCAUGGAAGAGCUAGCCCAGCAGCGCAACAGCGUCUCCAUAUAGCUUUGUGGACAGACUGUUAUUUACGAGGAACUUAUUAUUACCAGGAACUUAGAAGCCCAACCUCAGAAAAUAUACGAUUAAAUGGAACUGAUACUCGAAGAGGAAGAGGCAACCAGUGGGCUGGAGAAGGAAGCACUGUAUAUAUACUCCACUCCACUUCCAUAGAAGUAGUGUCCUAUCCAAAAACCCGCUGCAUGCUUUGGUCUUCUGAGAAGAAAGGAAGCAAUUACCAGACCAAAUCACAAACCCGCUUGCAAAAACCCUCAUAAAAA